GAUGAACGCUAGCGGAAGGCCUAAUACAUGCAAGUCGAACGGAUAUAUUUACUUCGGUGAAUAUGUUAGUGGCGCACGGGUGAGUAACGCGUACACAACCUACCUUACAUUGGGGGAUAGCCCUGGGAAACUGGGAGUAAUACCGCAUAAUAUUAUUUGAAGGCAUCUUUGGAUAAUUAAAGCUGAGGCGAUGUAAGAUGGGUGUGCGUCUGAUUAGGUAGUUGGUAGGGUAACGGCCUACCAAGCCGACGAUCAGUAGGGGGUGUGAGAGCAUGGCCCCCCACACGGGUACUGAGACACGGACCCGACUCCUACGGGAGGCAGCAGUAAGGAAUAUUGGUCAAUGGUGGGAACACUGAACCAGCCAUUCCGCGUGAAGGAUGAAUGCCCUCUGGGUUGUAAACUUCUUUAGUCUGGGACGAAAAGCUUCAUUCAUGAAGAACUGACGGUACCAGAAGAAUAAGCACCGGCUAACUCCGUGCCAGCAGCCGCGGUAAAAUGCGUACU
rnacentral:rRNA from 1 species